AGUGAACGCUGGCGGUAGGCCUAAUACAUGCAAGUCGAACGGCAGCACAGUAAGAGCUUGCUCUUACGGGUGGCGAGUGGCGGACGGGUGAGGAAUACAUCGGAAUCUACUUUUUCGUGGGGGAUAACGUAGGGAAACUUACGCUAAUACCGCAUACGACCUACGGGUGAAAGCAGGGGAUCUUCGGACCUUGCGCGAUUGAAUGAGCCGAUGUCGGAUUAGCUAGUUGGCGGGGUAAAGGCCCACCAAGGCGACGAUCCGUAGCUGGUCUGAGAGGAUGAUCGGCCACACUGGAACUGAGACACGGUCCAGACUCCUACGGGAGGCAGCAGUGGGGAAUAUUGGACAAUGGGCGCAAGCCUGAUCCAGCCAUACCGCGUGGGUGAAGAAGGCCUUCGGGUUGUAAAGCCCUUUUGUUGGGAAAGAAAAGCAGCAGGUUAAUACCCCGCUGUUCUGACGGUACCCAAAGAAUAAGCACCGGCUAACUUCGUG
rnacentral:rRNA from 1 species